UACGUAGGGUGCAAGCGUUGUCCGGAAUUAUUGGGCGUAAAGAGCUCGUAGGCGGUCUGUCGCGUCUGCUGUGAAAACUCGGGGCUUAACCCCGGGCCUGCAGUGGGUACGGGCAGACUAGAGUGCGGUAGGGGAGACUGGAAUUCCGUGGUGUAGCGGUGAAAUGCGCAGAUAUCAGGAGGAACACCAGUGGCGAAGGCGGCUUCUGGGACGGUAACUGACGCUGGAGACGACGAAGCGUGGGGAGC
rnacentral:rRNA from 1 species